GACGAACGCUGGCGGCGUGCCUAACACAUGCAAGUCGAACGGUAAGGCCCUUCGGGGUACACGAGUGGCGAACGGGUGAGUAACACGUGGGUGAUCUGCCCUGCACUUCGGGAUAAGCCUGGGAAACUGGGUCUAAUACCGGAUAGGACCCUGGGAUGCAUGUCCUGGGGUGGAAAGCUUUUGCGGUGUGGGAUGGGCCCGCGGCCUAUCAGCUUGUUGGUGGGGUGAUGGCCUACCAAGGCGACGACGGGUAGCCGGCCUGAGAGGGUGACCGGCCACACUGGGACUGAGAUACGGCCCAGACUCCUACGGGAGGCAGCAGUGGGGAAUAUUGCACAAUGGGCGCAAGCCUGAUGCAGCGACGCCGCGUGAGGGAUGACGGCCUUCGGGUUGUAAACCUCUUUCAGCGCCGACGAAGCGCAAGUGACGGUAGGUGCAGAAGAAGGACCGGCCAACUACGUGCCAGCCGCCGCGGUAA
rnacentral:rRNA from 1 species